rnacentral:tRNA from 1 species
GGAGAUUUUCGAUUCUUGAAGGAAUAAAACGACUUAUUCGUAAUCAGUAGGUCGGAGGUUCGACUCCUCUCAUCAGCACCA